AGUGAACGCUGGCGGUAGGCCUAACACAUGCAAGUCGAACGGCAGCACAGUAAGAGCUUGCUCUUACGGGUGGCGAGUGGCGGACGGGUGACGAAUACAUCGGAAUCUACUUUUUCGUGGGGGAUAACGUAGGGAAACUUACGCUAAUACCGCAUACGACCUACGGGUGAAAGCAGGGGAUCUUCGGACCUUGCGCGAUUGAAUGAGCCGAUGUCGGAUUAGCUAGUUGGCGGGGUAAAGGCCCACCAAGGCGACGAUCCGUAGCUGGUCUGAGAGGAUGAUCAGCCACACUGGAACUGAGACACGGUCCAGACUCCUACGGGAGGCAGCAGUGGGGAAUAUUGGACAAUGGGCGCAAGCCUGAUCCAGCCAUACCGCGUGGGUGAAGAGGGCCUUCGGGUUGUAAAGCCCUUUUGUUGGGAAAGAAAAGCAGCAGGUUAAUACCCCGCUGUUCUGACGGUACCCAAAGAAUAAGCACCGGCUAACUUCGUG
rnacentral:rRNA from 1 species